rnacentral:rRNA from 1 species
AUUGAACGCUGGCGGCAUGCCUUACACAUGCAAGUCGAACGGCAGCACGGACUUCGGUCUGGUGGCGAGUGGCGAACGGGUGAGUAAAGUAUCGGAACGUACCUUUCAGUGGGGGAUAACGUAGCGAAAGUUACGCUAAUACCGCAUAUUCUGUGAGCAGGAAAGCAGGGGAUCGCAAGACCUUGCGCUGAUUGAGCGGCCGAUAUCAGAUUAGCUAGUUGGUGGGGUAAAAGCCUACCAAGGCGACGAUCUGUAGCGGGUCUGAGAGGAUGAUCCGCCACACUGGAACUGAGACACGGUCCAGACUCCUACGGGAGGCAGCAGUGGGGAAUUUUGGACAAUGGGGGCAACCCUGAUCCAGCCAUGCCGCGUGAGUGAAGAAGGCC